rnacentral:rRNA from 1 species
GCAUAACGCGAAGAACCUUACCAAGGUUUGACAUCCCCUUGACAGGUGCAGAGAUGUGCCGUUCUUUUCGUAAGACAAGGGAGACAGGUGGUGCAUGGUUGUCGUCAGCUCGUGUCGUGAGAUGUUGGGUUAAGUCCCGCAACGAGCGCAACCCUUAUCCUUAGUUGCCAGCAAGUAAAGUUGGGCACUCUAAGGAGACUGCCGAUGAUAAAUCGGAGGAAGGUGGGGAUGACGUCAAAUCAUCAUGCCCCUUAUAUCUUGGGCUACACACGUGCUACAAUGGUCGGUACAACGGGGGAGCGAAGGAGCGAUCCGGAGCAAAUCUCAAUAAACCGAUCCCAGUUCGGAUUGUAGGCUGCAACUCGCCUACAUGAAGUCGGAGUUGCUAGUAAUCGCGAAUCAGAACGUCGCGGUGAAUGCGUUCCCGGGUCUUGUACACACCGAGUCGUGGGAGGCAAGGCACACAGGGGGGGGGAUA